rnacentral:rRNA from 1 species
UACGUAGGGUGCAAGCGUUGUCCGGAAUUACUGGUCGUAAAGAGCUCGUAGGUGGUUUGUCGCGUCGUCUGUGAAAUUCCGGGGCUUAACUCCGGGCGUGCAGGCGAUACGGGCAAACUGGAGUGCUGUAGGGGAGACUGGAAUUCCUGGUGUAGCGGUGGAAUGCGCAGAUAUCAGGAGGAACACCGAUGGCGAAGGCAGGUCUCUGGGCAGUUACUGACACUUAGGAGCGAAAGCAUGGGUAGCGAACAGG